rnacentral:lncRNA from 1 species
GGGGGGUCACUAUGAGGAUGUGGGAGUCAUUGUGAGGUGAUGGGAACUAUUGUAAGGUGACCAGGGUUAGCUACUAUGAUGCUGUCGGGGGUCACUGAGAAUUGAUGGAGUCACCAUGAGGUGAUGGGGUCACUAUGGUGAUGUGGUAACAAUCAUUUCCUCUCUUUGGCAUGUGAAAUUGGAGCCUAUCUUUGAUGAACGUCAUCUUCACCACAACUACACAGAAUUAAGCAAUUGAGUGAUUUUGAUUGACGUGGAAGAGUCUUCACUUCCAACACUGUGGAAAUCUCUGAGUCAAGUUGGGGAUAUCUAGUCCUGUUCUCUGGUGAGCAGAUGCCUGUGUGGGCUUCAUGGGUUGCACAUCCAAGACUUGCGUCAAGGAUGGAAUCACCUGGGACAGAAAACUUCUGUGCUAGCAGACAAGAAAGCCCAGGAUCAUGCCUGUGUCCUUCAGUUCAGUAGAUACUCAAGAUCCCUGAGUGCCUAAGAGGAGUCAGCUUGUUUCAUGUGGGGUUACUCACCCUAUCCUGUUUCAUUUCAACUUAUGACAACUGGAGUCUCUCGUCUGAAGUCACACAUGAGUUACAUGUGGUUUGGAUCUGGCCUGAGAAGGAGCCUCAACCAAACACUCAGCAUUUUGGUCUGAGAAGAAGGUUGCAUUAUACUCUAAGUACCUGUUUCCUCAAGAAAGCAUCUUAGUAGCUAAGCACAGCAGCACCUGCAGAAAUCUUCAACUCGUAAGCGGCAAGGAAUGGUCUGAAGUACCCAUGUUUACUUUACUCAGGGGGAGAGCAGCUUUGGGCGUUCUCUCCUCUCGCAAGGAUGGACUUUUAGCUCACUGUAAAAGCCGAGAAAAAUCAACAUUCACAGCCUUUGGGACACAGCAAGGACCUACUCGACUCUCCUUCCCCUGUCCGUCCUUUAUCAGAAACAACGGUAACAGCCGACACAACAAUCCUGCUGUGCUAAAACACAAUGGAUCUCAAGUGUGGGUCACAAUGAUACUGGAUUUACACGCGGAAAUUAUCAGCAAAGAGUAGGAGAAACGACUGGAAAGGAAGAAAGAGAAGAAGGCAGAAGAGAAGAGAAUGAAGUAAGGGGGACAAAAAGACAAGAGACACAUUGACAGAAGGAAGAACAGACAAGAGGUGAGGUAUGCACUCCUGAAUGGUAGUAAAUCAGUGUCAUUAGGAUGCAGCUAUUCCCAUAGCAAGUGUCCUCCUGAGCCCCACCCCCUCCUCUCACCAGAAAUUGAUAAACCAGCCAGUGGAGUACUAAUUACUUAGCUAGUACUUCUGGGAUUUUAUUCCAUACCAGACCCCCAUACAUAGCAUGCCGGGAUUAGCGUUAGCUCUCUGAAAUGAAGCUGCAGUAAGAGGACCACAUGGUGUGGACUGUACCCCGACGACUAUUUCAGCCAGCUGUAAUUGUCAUGUUCAUCUGGAAGCUGAGUGGUUCCAGUAAUAGAAAUGGGUCACGGGAAGUGUGCGUUAUUGUCCUGGCAUGUCAUUAUAUGACCUUGGUUGGCUGAUCUCUAGGCCUUGGUUUCUUUAUUUGUUAAAUGUGGACAAGAAUUUCCUGUCCUGAUUAUUUCACAGGGGCAUUGGGAAGAUGAAGCAUGGAAGGAUAAACCCUCUCGUACUGUGAUAAGGAUGAAAUGCCAGAAGAACCUAAAGCUGGCCUUAUGCUUUUUCAUUUAACAAGGUGGUGGGUAGGUGGGGCAGGGGGGUUGGUAGGAUGGCAUUAUGUGCAGAAGGCUUGGUGACUCAAAGCAGUAUCCUUUUUCUCACCAGUAAUAUCUGGUCUGGGAUUAUUACUGCUUUCUUGGUGAUUUUAGGCAUUCCCUUCUCCUUCAGAAAUGCCAAAGGAGCAAACACUAUUCUGCGGCUGUAAUUUGUCACCCUUGCAGCCUGAGCAAGAUGCAGACAGUUCAGUAAUUAAGCUUUUCAACGUGCAUCAUAAAGUUUUAUUCUGGCAAAAGCUAUAUUUAUCAGCUAACAAGUAUUAAAUCACCCUACUGCUCAAGUCGUUUCUCACUUGAAUAUGCUCCUUUCAAAACACAGCAGCUUUCCCUGGCUGGCUUGACUAAUAAAAGUCCUUACUUGGAAAUACGGUGGUGAUGUGUGGUCUUGCGAAGUAGAAAUACAUCCGAACACUGUUCUAAGCCUGGCUGACUCCCAUCUUCUGAGGGGGUAAUGGUGGACAUCUUUGCCCUGCGGUCUUUUAUAGCAUUCUUCCAAUAGCUACUAGGACAUGGAUUUCCUUAGCUAUUUCUUUUCUAAAGGGAAAGAAGCAGGUUGAAGUUCAAAUGCGGCAGACAUCUUCAGCACGAUUGAAACAGUGAGGUGACAAUGAACUCUUUAUUGGGGAGGAUGGAGUCUCUGCUCAUGUUGUAACGUCUUAACAAACGUACAGAAGUCAUGGGAUAAUAUGCAUAGAAUGAAGAGCUAUGAAAUGUCUUAGGAAUGUCUUGCAAGAAUGAUUCUAUAACUAAUGUAUUUUCCUCUUUACAGGUUUUCCCUCCCUUGUAGGACAUAAGUAUUCCAUGGU